CAGUCGCCGCGGGAAUACGUAGGUGGCAAGCGUUGUCCGGAAUUAUUGGGCGUAAAGCGCGCGCAGGCGGAUCAGUCAGUCUGUCUUAAAAGUUCGGGGCUUAACCCCGUGAUGGGAUGGAAACUGCUGAUCUAGAGUAUCGGAGAGGAAAGUGGAAUUCCUAGUGUAGCGGUGAAAUGCGUAGAUAUUAGGAAGAACACCAGUGGCGAAGGCGACUUUCUGGACGAAAACUGACGCUGAGGCGCGAAAGCCAGGGGAGCGAACGGGAUUAGAUACCCCAGUAGUCCCUGUCUCUUAUACA
rnacentral:rRNA from 1 species